UACGUAGGCAGCGAGCGUUGUUCGGAGUUACUGGGCGUAAAGGGCUCGUAGGCGGCCAACUAAGUCAGACGUGAAAUCCCUCAGCUUAACUGGGGAACUGCGUCUGAUACUGGAUGGCUUGGAUCCGGGAGAGGGAUGCGGAAUUCCAGGUGUAGCGGUGAAAUGCGUAGAUAUCGGAAGGAACAUCAGUGGCGAAAGCGACUUCCUGGACCAGUACCGACGUUCAGGCACGAAAGCGUGGGGAGCAAACAGG
rnacentral:rRNA from 1 species